rnacentral:rRNA from 1 species
AGAGAUGUGUGAUGACGCAUAUCAAUAAGCGGAGGAAAAGAAACUAACAAGGAUUCCCUUAGUAACGGCGAGUGAAGCGGGAAGAGCUCAAAUUUGAAAUCUUCAAGGUUCUACCUUGACGAAUUGUAGUUUAUAGAAGUGUUUUCUGUUAGUAGAGUGGCAAAAGUUCUUUGGAAUAGGACAUCAUAGAGGGUGAGAAUCCCGUAUUUGAUCAUUACUUUCCUAGCUUUGUGAUACACUUUCAAAGAGUCGGAUUGUUUGGGAAUGCAGUCCAAAAUGGGUGGUAAAUUUCAUCUAAAGCUAAAUAUUGGCGAGAGACCGAUAGCGAACAAGUACCGUGAGGGAAAGAUGAAAAGAACUUUGAAAAGAGAGUUAAACAGUACGUGAAAUUGUCAAAAGGGAAGCGUUUGACACCAGUGUUGUUUAGUUGAAAAUCAAUUCAAUAAUUUUUGAUUUUGAGUAGUAUUGACUUCAUCAGCUUGCUGCUCUCUUUUCGGAAAUUAUUGAAUGCACUUUUCAGUUAACAAGUCAACAUCAAUUUCUUUUGUUGUAAAAGGGUAAGAGGAAGGUGGCUUGCGCUUCGGCUCAAGUGUUUAUAGCCUUUUAUCUCUGCAAUCGGAGAGAUUGAGGUCUGCAGCGUAGAUCCUUCGGGGUUAGAUACAUUGGUGCUAAGCUAUAGCCUUGUAUAGACAACUUGUUGACUAUGCUCAGUCAUGUAGCUUACUCGCUGAUGCUAUUUUACCUACGCUUAGGAUGUUGAUCUGUAGUGCGUGCGC